UACGGAGGGUGCAAGCGUUAUCCGGAUUUACUGGGUUUAAAGGGUGCGCAGGCGGAUAUGUAAGUCAGUGGUGAAAUCUCCGGGCUUAACCCGGAAAUUGCCGUUGAUACUAUAUAUCUUGAAUGCUGUGGAGGUAAGCAGAAUAUGUCAUGUAGCGGUGAAAUGCUUAGAUAUGACAUAGAACACCAAUUGCGAAGGCAGCUGGCUACACAUAUAUUGACACUGAGGCACGAAAGCGUGGGGAUCAAACAGG
rnacentral:rRNA from 1 species